CUACGGGUUGCUGCAGUGGGGAAUAUUGCACAAUGGUCGCAAGCCUGAUGCAGCCAUGCCGCGUGUAUGAAGAAGGCCUUCGGGUUGUAAAGUACUUUCAGCGGGGAGGAAGGGAGUAAAGUUAAUACCUUUGCUCAUUGACGUUACCCGCAGAAGAAGCACCGGCUAACUCCGUGCCAGCAGCCGUGGUAAUACGGAGGGUGCAAGCGUUAAUCGGAAUUACUGGGCGUAAAGCGCACGCAGGCGGUUUGUUAAGUCAGAUGUGAAAUCCCCGGGCUCAACCUGGGAACUGCAUCUGAUACUGGCAAGCUUGAGUCUCGUAGAGGGGGGUAGAAUUCCAGGUGUAGCGGUGAAAUGCGUAGAGAUCUGGAGGAAUACCGGUGGCGAAGGCGGCCCCCUGGACGAAGACUGACGCUCAGGUGCGAAAGCGUGGGGAGCAAACAGGAUUAGAUACCCCCGUAGUC
rnacentral:rRNA from 1 species